UACUUGUAACUAAUGAAAAUGCCAUUUU
rnacentral:sRNA from 1 species